rnacentral:tRNA from 1 species
UCCAGGUAAAUAGGGCGAAAAUCCAAAACCGUGGCUGUUAACCACUGGGUCCGCGGUUCGAGUCCGUGCUGGGGAGCCA